ACUCCUACGGGAGGCAGCAGUGGGGAAUAUUGCACAAUGGGCGCAAGCCUGAUGCAGCCAUGCCGCGUGUAUGAAGAAGGCCUUCGGGUUGUAAAGUACUUUCAGCAGUGAGGAAGACGGAGUCGUUAAUAGCGGCCUCGUUUGACGUUAGCUGCAGAAGAAGCACCGGCUAACUCCGUGCCAGCAGCCGCGGUAAUACGUAGGGUACGAGCGUUGUCCGGAAUUAUUGGGCGUAAAGAGCUCGUAGGUGGUUGGUCACGUCUGCUGUGGAAACGCAACGCUUAACGUUGCGCGUGCAGUGGGUACGGGCUGACUAGAGUGCAGUAGGGGAGUCUGGAAUUCCUGGUGUAGCGGUGAAAUGCGCAGAUAUCAGGAGGAACACCGGUGGCGAAGGCGGGACUCUGGGCUGUAAACUGACACUGAGGAGCGAAAGCAUGGGGAGCGAACAGGAUUAGAUACCCUGGUAGGAUAGCG
rnacentral:rRNA from 1 species